GGACGCUGGAAGUCCGACAACAAGAUAUUGGUAAGGUCUGGGAAUUCAGCCAAAAAUUCCUGAAGGAUGAAUUCCUUUUCCUCGGUGAGGUUGACAUUUGAGCACACAUCGCCCUCUUGUGUCUACGACACAUUUGGCAACGUAGUUUCCAGCACCUGCUAAUGCACACAGCAAAUUGAAGCCUUGUUAACAUCCCUUAAGCCUGCAGACCUCGGUACAAGGCGGAGGGAGAACAAACGCACCAAUUUUCCCAGAAUAGUCAAGAACAUCCAGAAGAAUCCAGAAUUUGUGAAGAUGGUACUGGUAACUACCCAACCCAGAGCUUUGAAAGUUAAAAAAUGUAUAAGGUGGACCUUACCUUCCGAAAACUGCUAUCAGGGCCUCUGCAGGAGGCCCUGGCUGUGAUAAAUGUGCAUCUGUAGAGUGCACAACCUGAACAUCCUUACCAAGCAGCCCUGACCAAUAUCUUCCUGCCUAAAGAGUGCCAAUGCUGAGAGUAUGCCUUUAAAACCCCAUUUUGGCCAUUUCUCAAGAAACCUGUACUUGAUGGAUCAGCUGGCACCAUCCAGAUCAAUAAACUGGCUCAUCUGAUCUGGACCCCCCACCUAGGAACUGACUCAGCGCAAGAAGACAGCUUCGACUCUCUAUGAUUUCAUUCCUGACCAAUCAGUACUCCUGGCUCACUGGCUUCCUCCCACCCACCAAGUUAUCCUUAAAAAUUCUGCUUCCCGAAUGCUAGGGGAGACUGAUUUGAGUAAUAAUAAAACUCUAAUCUCCUGCUCA
rnacentral:lncRNA from 10 species